rnacentral:rRNA from 1 species
GACGAACGCUGGCGGCGUGCUUAACACAUGCAAGUCAAGGGGGCCCAGCAAUGGGCAACCGGCGAACGGGUGCGUAACACGUGAGCAACCUACCGAACUGUGGGGGAUAGCCGGCCUAACGGCCGAGUAAUACCGCAUACGCUUUCAGUGAGGCAUUUCAUUGAAAGGAAACCUACGGGACAGAUCGAGGGGCUCGCGGCCUAUCAGCUAGUUGGCGAGGUAACGGCUCACCAAGGCAACGACGGGUAGCUGGUCUGAGAGGAUGGCCAGCCACAUUGGGGACUGAGAUACGGCCCAGACUCCUACGGGAGGCAGCAGUGGGGAAUCUUGCGCAAUGGCCUAACGGCUGACGCAGCGACGCCGCGUGUGGGAUGAAGCUCUUCGGAGUGUAAACCACUGUUGCCCGGGACGAACAGCUCGAUUUCUCGAGCCUGACGGUACCGGGUGAGGAAGCACCGGCUAACUCCGUGCCAGCCGCCGCCGUAAG